UUUCCGAAUGGGGAAACCCAGUGUGUUUCGACACACUAUCAUUAACUGAAUCCAUAGGUUAAUGAGGCGAACCGGGGGAACUGAAACAUCUAAGUACCCCGAGGAAAAGAAAUCAACCGAGAUUCCCCCAGUAGCGGCGAGCGAACGGGGAGCAGCCCAGAGCCUGAAUCAGUAUGUGUGUUAGUGGAAGCGUCUGGAAAGGCGCGCGAUACAGGGUGACAGCCCCGUACACAAAAAUGCACAUGCUGUGAGCUCGAUGAGUAGGGCGGGACACGUGGUAUCCUGUCUGAAUAUGGGGGGACCAUCCUCCAAGGCUAAAUACUCCUGACUGACCGAUAGUGAACCAGUACCGUGAGGGAAAGGCGAAAAGAACCCCGGCGAGGGGAGUGAAAAAGAACCUGAAACCGUGUACGUACAAGCAGUGGGAGCACGCUUAGGCGUGUGACUGCGUACCUUUUGUAUAAUGGGUCAGCGACUUAUAUUCUGUAGCAAGGUUAACCGAAUAGGGGAGCCGAAGGGAAACCGAGUCUUAACUGGGCGUUAAGUUGCAGGGUAUAGACCCGAAACCCGGUGAUCUAGCCAUGGGCAGGUUGAAGGUUGGGUAACACUAACUGGAGGACCGAACCGACUAAUGUUGAAAAAUUAGCGGAUGACUUGUGGCUGGGGGUGAAAGGCCAAUCAAACCGGGAGAUAGCUGGUUCUCCCCGAAAGCUAUUUAGGUAGCGCCUCGUGAAUUCAUCUCCGGGGGUAGAGCACUGUUUCGGCAAGGGGGUCAUCCCGACUUACCAACCCGAUGCAAACUGCGAAUACCGGAGAAUGUUAUCACGGGAGACACACGGCGGGUGCUAACGUCCGUCGUGAAGAGGGAAACAACCCAGACCGCCAGCUAAGGUCCCAAAGUCAUGGUUAAGUGGGAAACGAUGUGGGAAGGCCCAGACAGCCAGGAUGUUGGCUUAGAAGCAGCCAUCAUUUAAAGAAAGCGUAAUAGCUCACUGGUCGAGUCGGCCUGCGCGGAAGAUGUAACGGGGCUAAACCAUGCAC
rnacentral:rRNA from 1 species